ACUGAUCAUAGCUCUACGACUGGCGUAAGUCUAUGUUGAAGUAUGGAAGUUACGAUCACCUUAGCGCUAAGAUCACUUUGUGAAAUGGGGCCCAGGAGCCCGUUCCACAUACUGAUCAUAGCUCUACGACUGGCGUAAGUCUAUGUUGAAGUAUGGAAGUUACGAUCACCUUAGCGCUAAGAUCACUUUGUGAAAUGGGGCCCAGGAGCCCGUUCCACAUACUGAUCAUAGCUCUACGACUGGCGUAAGUCUUUGUUGAAGUAUGUGAGUUACAAUCACCUUAGCACUAAGAUCACAUUGUGAAAUGGGGCCCAGGAGCCCGUUCCACAUACUGAUUGUAGCGCUAUGACUGGCGUAAGUCUAUGUUGAAGUAUGGGAGUUACUAUCACCUUAGCGCUGAGAUCAUUUUGGGGAACGGGACCCUGGCCUUCUAAACAAUGGAUUCCAG